rnacentral:rRNA from 1 species
CCUACGGGAGGCAGCAGUAGGGAAUAUUGCUCAAUGGGGGAAACCCUGAAGCAGCAACGCCGCGUGGAGGAUGAAGGUUUUCGGAUUGUAAACUCCUUUUGUUAGAGAAGAGAAUGACGGUAUCUAACGAAUAAGCACCGGCGAACGCCGUGCCAGCAGCCGCGGUAAUACGGAGGGUGCAAGCGUUACUCGGAAUCACUGGGCGUACAGAGCGCGAAGGCGGGAUAGCUAGUCAGAUGUGAAAUCCUAUGGCUUAACCCUAGAACUGCAUUUGAAACUGUUAUUCUAGCGUAUGGGAGCGGUAGGUGUACUUCUUGGUGUCUGGGUACACUCCGUCUCGCUCA